rnacentral:tRNA from 1 species
CAAGGGGUAGUUUAAAUAAAAUAUUAAUUUUGGGGAUUAAUGAUAAGGAGUUUUCUUUCCUUUGA